UGUGGAAUUACUGGAUCAUAUGGUAAUUCUAUCUUUAAUUUUUUGAAAAACCUCCAUACUCUAUGCCACAGUGGCUGCACCAGUUAAGAACCAAAACAAAUGAACAAACGGGGGUAAAGAAAAGAAGGUGGGGGAGACAAACCGAGAAACGGACUCUUAACUAUAGCGAGCAAACUGAUGGUCACCAGAGGGGAGGUGGGUGGGGUGUUGGGGGAAAUACGUGAAGGGGACUAAGAGUAUACUUAUUGUGAUGAGCAAUGCGUAAUAUAUAAUUUUUGAAUUACUAUUUUGUAUGCCUGAAACUAAUGUAACAUUGUAUGCUAACUAAACUGGAAUUAAAACUAAAAAAAAAGAAAAAGAAAUUACCACUCAUUUGACUUGAUACUUUGUGCUGUCAUCCCUUCCUAGGUUUGGGUUGACAGAAUAUGACUGUGAUCAAAGAAUCGACCUUGUCUGUCCCUAAGUUGCCUCAUCUCUGACACGGGCGUAAUAAGAGCAUUCCAGAGUUACUGUGGAAAUCAAAUGAGAUAAUGUAUACAAAGCAUUGAGAACAGUGCUUGGUACAUGAGGUACCCUGCGUGUUCAGUUUCACAGAGUCAUUGGGAACCCCAGCUCCACCUGCCAUGUCAUUGGGUGCAUUCCCAAGAAACAGAAGGGUGGUGCCAACACCAUCCAUCUUGUCUGGAAGAUGAAGCAAGGAAGAGGAAAGCCCAAAUCUGAGCAUGGACCCUCCAAGGAAACUGCCCAGAAAUUGCAUCUACCACAUUGGCUUACAUCCCACUGGCCAGGAUUUAAUUACAUGGAUACAAUGCAAGGGAGGCUGUGAAACAGAGUCUUCAUUCCAAGUCACCAUGUGCUCAGCUAAACAUUUACUUCUGAGAGAGAAGAGAAUAAAUAUUGGGAUCAACGAGUUGGCUCUUCCAAGUCUGCCUUCUGGUCACCGGAAUAUCCAUGUGCUGUUUUUCCCACACAUAGGACAUCCUCCUCUCCCACAGGAACAUAGUCUCAAGUCUGGCCCAGUUAGUACAUCCCACCUGACUCGUACGAUUCCUAAGUGGUGUGCAACCCUUUCCAUCAGAUCCGGCAUGGCUCCCCAUGGAAGAAAUGUGAAAAUUAAAAUAAAAGAAAAUAAUAUUUUUAGAGGAGAAAA